rnacentral:misc_RNA from 1 species
GCAAAUUCUAAUAGCCCUCCAUUUAACAGGAUUACCUAGAUUAAAAGAAUAUUUUAUCUGCUCUGCUACUCAGUCCUUAACUGUCUCUGUACCAGUCUACCAAAGAUCAUAGCACAAGUAAUUCAGUACAUUGCUAAGCAUACAACUCUUAAAGGACAAUAACAAUCCAACACCAAUAUACUUGGACAGCUAAUCCUAUUGCAACAAAUUGAUGUGGGAUGAAUUUUCUUGGGACAGUUGUUUAAUCUGCUUAAGAACUAAAUGAUGGUUACAAGAGGAUAACAUGAUUGUAAAGGCAGGCCCAACCAGCACACAAGAAUCACCAAGGGCUAACUCCACUGCAACCCUGAAUUAAAAAAAUCCAGAAACCCAGACAAAUAACCAGCACAAACAUGCAUGCAGGAUGCAGCAUGGUUCAUCCAAGAGGUAACUCUAGCGCCACCAAAUGCAGAAACAUAUUAAAGUCUAAAUAUACAAAAAAACUAGCUAGGGGCAAAAAAAACCAGCUAGAGAUACGGUUUUAAUUUGUUACUUUUCUUCUAAUGCAUAUGGAACUCAACAAAGACUACAAUAACAAAAAGCAGAUAGCAGUGGGUUUUCUCUCUCUUCUUAAGGUGCUU